rnacentral:lncRNA from 1 species
AGGAAGAGGUGACAGUAAUCUUACCAGGGGCUACUCUCAUCAUAGUGGCUGUCAACCCGCAAGCCAUCCCCCCAACCCCCGUGAGACUUGAGAAGUAUCUUGAUGACCAAAGAGGAUGAUUUUUCUCAGAGAAAGGUGCCAGUGUCGUCCUCCGGAGCUUUGAUCCAGGAUGGUGUGCUCACGUGCGCAAUGCAAUUUUGUCACCAGAUUGUAAUGUGGGUUUUGUCUCUCUCUACCCUUGCCUCUCACUGUGUUUGUCUGAGUCACAGAACUGAUUUCCACUGUGUUUGUCUGAAUCACAAAGCUGAUUUCCAAGGAUUGAUUGGGAAGAAAUAGAUGGAUUUUUAUACACGUACACCAAAAAUAUUCUGCCCUAAGUACCAUGGAAUGAUGCCCUUGCCUCAUUACUUCCUUGUUGGUAUCAUUUCCUUAUCUCUUUGAUUAUCUUCUGGGACCAGUGUCCGCUCCUCCAAGCACCCACCCUUUGGGUGCAUCACUCCAUUCAUGGCAUGACCAGUCCAUGCCAUAUGACUGAGGAGUGGAAGUGCCACCUCAACUUCAGUGAUGACAGUCUGUCAUUUAUGCCCACCUUAAAAUGUAGGGAGCUUGUUUCAGCCCCCAAUUUCUGGAGUAUAUUUGUUCUGUGUUAU